CGUUAACGAACGAGACCCCCGCCUGCUAAAUAGCGUGACUUACGCAUUCGCGUAGGUGGGCGCUUCUUAGAGGGACUUUCGGUGACUAACCGAAGGAAGUUGGGGGC
rnacentral:rRNA from 1 species